AGAAGCUUAGGAUUAAGCUUAUUAAACCGGUGGCCUUCAACACCACAAAAAAGGAUAAACCCUUAGCUUCUG
rnacentral:tRNA from 1 species